UCAGGGAACCCGGAGGCGGAGUAAGAAACAAGGCAAGGCUCUGAUUGGUUCCUAGAAGACGCUGUGAGCAUCCGCCCCCAAAGAUGUACCAAUGAGCUGCGGGGAAAGGUGGGCUCGGGGCCGGACAGCUGCUGAGCAGAGGUCCAGAGGGGAGAGGCCGCACCAGUCCGGGGCGGACGGCGGCCAGCGAGCCAGCGAUGAAGCCGUACAGGCAAGUGAGUUUGACUCCUCGGACGAAGAGCCCAUUGAAGAUGAGCAGACUCCAAUUGAGAUCUCAUGGCUACCUCUGUCACAAGUGAAUUGCUGUCAGUUUCUCGGUUUAUGUGCUCUCCCAGGUUGCAAAUUUAAAGAUGUUAGAAGAAAUAUUCAAAAAGAUACAGAGGAACUAAAAACCUGCGGUAUACAAGACAUAUUUGUUUUCUGCACCAGAGGGGAACUGUCAAAAUACAGAGUCCCAAACCUUUUGGACUUCUACCAGCAGUCUGGAAUCAUAACUCACCAUCAUCCCAUCCCAGACGGAGAGACGCCCGACAUAGCCAGCUGCUACACAGUGAUGGAGGAGCUCGCGACCUGCCUCAGAAAUAACCGGAAAACUCUCAUACACUGUUAUGGAGGACUUGGGAGAUCCUGUCUUGCUGCUUGUCUCCUCCUAUACCUGUCUGACACGGUCUCACCACAGCAAGCCAUAGACACCCUGCGAGAUGUAAGAGGGUCCGGGGCCAUCCAGACCAUAAAGAAAACCAAACACAUGGUCAAACAGAAGUACUAAUCUGGCUGUGUUCUUCAUUCUUAAUCCUGGAAAGAUGAAGCCCACACUAGGCAAUAUAAUUAUCUUCAUGAGUUCCGGGACAAACUAGAUGCUUAUCUGUCAUCAAGAGAUUCACUAUCAAGAUCUGUAUCGAGAUGAAUUUCAAAUCGCAUAUUAUGACCAUGUCUGAAAUGUAUGAGUUCUCUGGCAUAAUUUGUACUUAAACAAAGCUGCUAGUGUUGUCAGCUUGAAUGUAUGCAUGCAGCUAUUUUAAAGCUUUUUAUUGACAAAAUUGUGUGUCUUUCAUCUCAUGGCAGAGGGACAGAAAAAAUUAGUAGAGCUCUCCUUUUAAAAAAUGCCUGGUUCUGGUACAUUUAACCUAGACUUUAUGCUGGGAAACAGUAAGAAAAAAGCACUAGCAAAUCUUAACCAUUUCCCACUUUGCCUCAGGUUACCAUUGGAAACUAGGCGCUGGAGUAGGAGCUAGUAAGAAGUAUGAAGCUAGUAUGAGGACUUACCCCACACUUACUUUGAAAUAACUUUCCCCCCCUUCUGUUCCUUUUGUUUCCUCAACUUUCAGAAUUGUAAAGAUCCUCUCUCUCCCAACAGGCCCCAGGAGGUGUUUCCCCAGCACUUACUGGAACUUCUUCAAAAACAAGGAAUUCAUUGGUCCACACAGUGGCUCCAGUUUUAGGACAUUAACUUCCUACCCUAAAAACCACCCAGAAGGAACUGAAUCCUUCUUUCACACUGAUUAUAUAAAGUACUUAGCUGCAGGUUAACUUCCAGUUUUACUCCUUCACCUCACCCUGCACUAUUGAAAUUGUCUCUAAAUUCGGCUUUGUGUGCUACCCACAGAAGUCCUUGUUUACAUUUGGGCUGUAAACAAGGAUUGUAUGAGCCAAAGCCACCUUUUUGCAACAGACAGCAGUGGUUUCGGGACCACACACUGCAGUCUCAUGGCUCUCUUGGCAACCAGUGGUCACUUGGCUCCUACCACCACUCUGCAGGUCACAGGCACUUGCACAAAAGACUAAGACACCACAUCAAAACUUGAGUUUUUAAAAACUCCUAUAAUGACUAAAACUCUUCUGGCUGCUGCUAAACUACUUGAAUUUAAUGAGGGAAUGUCCCAAAAACAGUCGCUAGUGUUGUGUUCAGAUUAGCGGGAUGUUCUGCAGUAUAAAAUCAGUAUUGUAAUACUGUGGGGUAUGCUCUGCUUCUAGAAUUUAAGAUUUUAUAAAAGCACUAAGCAAGAUGGGGGCAUCACGCAUCCAAUGUUUAACCUAGGGAUUUAUCUCAGAUAAUAAAUGCCAAAAAUUAUA